UUUCUGUAGGUGAACCUGCGGAAGGAUCAUUCAUAAUCAGUGUUUUAUGGCACUUUUUUAAAUCCAUAUCUACCUUGUGUGCAAUGUCAGGGUUGAUUUUUCCCUAGGGAGGAUCAACCUCAAACAACAAUUCUAUCUCAACUCUUUGUCUGAAAAAUAUUAUGAAUAAAACAAUUCAAAAUAAAACUUUCAACAACGGAUCUCUUGGCUCUC
rnacentral:misc_RNA from 1 species